GGCUGGGGGCUUAGCGGUUAGCACGUUUGCCUCACGCCUCCAAGGUUGGGGGUUCGAUUCCCGCCUCCGCCC